CUGGCCUUGAAUCAAGGCCAGCAGUUGUCUGCAGCUGCUGGUUUUAAGCAGUAGCCUAAAGUAGAAUCUUUCUAUGGUCUGUUGGCUAUUUCAGAACUUUAGAAAUGUAAUGGUCAAUUCAUUAGAAAGAAACAACU
ensembl:snoRNA small nucleolar RNA SNORA2/SNORA34 family